GGCCUGAUCGCCAAGUGGUAAGGCAAGGGUCUGCAAAACCCUUAUCGGGAGUUCGAUUCUCCCUCAGGCCUCAA
rnacentral:tRNA from 2 species